rnacentral:rRNA from 1 species
CAGUAGCCGCGGUAAUACGUAGGUGGCAAGCGUUGUCCGGAAUUAUUGGGCGUAAAGGGCUCGCAGGCGGUUUCUUAAGUCUGAUAUGAAAGCCCCCGGCUCAACCGGGGAGGGUCAUUGGAAACUGGGAAACUUGAGUGCAGAAGAGGAGAGUGGAAUUCCACGUGUAGCGGUGAAAUGCGUAGAGAUGUGGAGGAACACCAGUGGCGAAGGCGACUCUCUGGUCUGUAACUGACGCUGAGGAGCGAAAGCGUGGGGAGCGAACAGGAUUAGAUACCCCCGUAGUCCCUGUCUCUUAUAC